GGUUAAGCGACUAAGCGUACACGGUGGAUGCCCUGGCAGUCAGAGGCGAUGAAGGACGUGCUAAUCUGCGAUAAGCGUCGGUAAGGUGAUAUGAACCGUUAUAACCGGCGAUUUCCGAAUGGGGAAACCCAGUGUGUUUCGACACACUAUCAUUAACUGAAUCCAUAGGUUAAUGAGGCGAACCGGGGGAACUGAAACAUCUAAGUACCCCGAGGAAAAGAAAUCAACCGAGAUUCCCCCAGUAGCGGCGAGCGAACGGGGAGCAGCCCAGAGCCUGAAUCAGUGUGUGUGUUAGUGGAAGCGUCUGGAAAGGCGCGCGAUACAGGGUGACAGCCCCGUACACAAAAAUGCACAUACUGUGAGCUCGAUGAGUAGGGCGGGACACGUGGUAUCCUGUCUGAAUAUGGGGGGGACCAUCCUCCAAGGCUAAAUACUCCUGACUGACCGAUAGUGAACCAGUACCGUGAGGGAAAGGCGAAAAGAACCCCGGCGAGGGGAGUGAAAAAGAACCUGAAACCGUGUACGUACAAGCAGUGGGAGCACGCUUCGGCGUGUGACUGCGUACCUUUUGUAUAAUGGGUCAGCGACUUAUAUUCUGUAGCAAGGUUAACCGAAUAGGGGAGCCGAAGGGAAACCGAGUCUUAACUGGGCGUUAAGUUGCAGGGUAUAGACCCGAAACCCGGUGAUCUAGCCAUGGGCAGGUUGAAGGUUGGGUAACACUAACUGGAGGACCGAACCGACUAAUGUUGAAAAAUUAGCGGAUGACUUGUGGCUGGGGGUGAAAGGCCAAUCAAACCGGGAGAUAGCUGGUUCUCCCCGAAAGCUAUUUAGGUAGCGCCUCGUGAAUUCAUCUCCGGGGGUAGAGCACUGUUUCGGCAAGGGGGUCAUCCCGACUUACCAACCCGAUGCAAACUGCGAAUACCGGAGAAUGUUAUCACGGGAGACACACGGCGGGUGCUAACGUCCGUCGUGAAGAGGGAAACAACCCAGACCGCCAGCUAAGGUCCCAAAGUCAUGGUUAAGUGGGAAACGAUGUGGGAAGGCCCAGACAGCCAGGAUGUUGGCUUAGAAGCAGCCAUCAUUUAAAGAAAGCGUAAUAGCUCACUGGUCGAGUCGGCCUGCGCGGAAGAUGUAACGGGGCUAAACCAUGCACCGAAGCUGCGGCAGCGACACUAUGUGUUGUUGGGUAGGGGAGCGUUCUGUAAGCCUGUGAAGGUGUACUGUGAGGUAUGCUGGAGGUAUCAGAAGUGCGAAUGCUGACAUAAGUAACGAUAAAGCGGGUGAAAAGCCCGCUCGCCGGAAGACCAAGGGUUCCUGUCCAACGUUAAUCGGGGCAGGGUGAGUCGACCCCUAAGGCGAGGCCGAAAGGCGUAGUCGAUGGGAAACAGGUUAAUAUUCCUGUACUUGGUGUUACUGCGAAGGGGGGACGGAGAAGGCUAUGUUGGCCGGGCGACGGUUGUCCCGGUUUAAGCGUGUAGGCUGGUUUUCCAGGCAAAUCCGGAAAAUCAAGGCUGAGGCGUGAUGACGAGGCACUACGGUGCUGAAGCAACAAAUGCCCUGCUUCCAGGAAAAGCCUCUAAGCAUCAGGUAACAUCAAAUCGUACCCCAAACCGACACAGGUGGUCAGGUAGAGAAUACCAAGGCGCUUGAGAGAACUCGGGUGAAGGAACUAGGCAAAAUGGUGCCGUAACUUCGGGAGAAGGCACGCUGAUAUGUAGGUGAAGUCCCUCGCGGAUGGAGCUGAAAUCAGUCGAAGAUACCAGCUGGCUGCAACUGUUUAUUAAAAACACAGCACUGUGCAAACACGAAAGUGGACGUAUACGGUGUGACGCCUGCCCGGUGCCGGAAGGUUAAUUGAUGGGGUUAGCGGUAACGCGAAGCUCUUGAUCGAAGCCCCGGUAAACGGCGGCCGUAACUAUAACGGUCCUAAGGUAGCGAAAUUCCUUGUCGGGUAAGUUCCGACCUGCACGAAUGGCGUAAUGAUGGCCAGGCUGUCUCCACCCGAGACUCAGUGAAAUUGAACUCGCUGUGAAGAUGCAGUGUACCCGCGGCAAGACGGAAAGACCCCGUGAACCUUUACUAUAGCUUGACACUGAACAUUGAGCCUUGAUGUGUAGGAUAGGUGGGAGGCUUUGAAGUGUGGACGCCAGUCUGCAUGGAGCCGACCUUGAAAUACCACCCUUUAAUGUUUGAUGUUCUAACGUUGACCCGUGAUCCGGGUUGCGGACAGUGUCUGGUGGGUAGUUUGACUGGGGCGGUCUCCUCCUAAAGAGUAACGGAGGAGCACGAAGGUUGGCUAAUCCUGGUCGGACAUCAGGAGGUUAGUGCAAUGGCAUAAGCCAGCUUGACUGCGAGCGUGACGGCGCGAGCAGGUGCGAAAGCAGGUCAUAGUGAUCCGGUGGUUCUGAAUGGAAGGGCCAUCGCUCAACGGAUAAAAGGUACUCCGGGGAUAACAGGCUGAUACCGCCCAAGAGUUCAUAUCGACGGCGGUGUUUGGCACCUCGAUGUCGGCUCAUCACAUCCUGGGGCUGAAGUAGGUCCCAAGGGUAUGGCUGUUCGCCAUUUAAAGUGGUACGCGAGCUGGGUUUAGAACGUCGUGAGACAGUUCGGUCCCUAUCUGCCGUGGGCGCUGGAGAACUGAGGGGGGCUGCUCCUAGUACGAGAGGACCGGAGUGGACGCAUCACUGGUGUUCGGGUUGUCAUGCCAAUGGCACUGCCCGGUAGCUAAAUGCGGAAGAGAUAAGUGCUGAAAGCAUCUAAGCACGAAACUUGCCCCGAGAUGAGUUCUCCCUGACUCCUUGAGAGUCCUGAAGGAACGUUGAAGACGACGACGUUGAUAGGCCGGGUGUGUAAGCGCAGCGAUGCGUUGAGCUAACCGGUACUAAUGAACCGUGAGGCUUAACCUUACAACGCCGAAGGUGUUUUG
rnacentral:rRNA from 2 species